rnacentral:rRNA from 1 species
UACGGAGGAUCCAAGCGUUAUCCGGAAUCAUUGGGUUUAAAGGGUCCGUAGGCGGUUUUGUAAGUCAGUGGUGAAAGCCCAUCGCUCAACGGUGGAACGGCCAUUGAUACUGCAAGACUUGAAUUAUUGGGAAGUAACUAGAAUAUGUAGUGUAGCGGUGAAAUGCUUAGAGAUUACAUGGAAUACCAAUUGCGAAGGCAGGUU